rnacentral:rRNA from 1 species
CACCGGCGGCUCGAGUGGUGGCCACUUUUAUUGGGUCUAAAGCGUCCGUAGUCGGCUUGGCAAGUCCCCUGGGAAAUCUGGCGGCUUAACCGUCAGGCGUCCAGAGGAUACUGCCAGGCUUGGGACCGGGAGAGGUGAGAGGUACCUCAGGGGUAGGGGUGAAAUCUUGUGAUCCCUGAGGGACCACCAGUGGCGAAGGCGUCUCACUAGAACGGGUCCGACGGUCAGGGACGAAAGCUGGGGGCACGAACCGG